GCCACUCUGGUUGCCUAGUGGUUAGAGCGUCUGCCUCGGAUGCUGGAGGUCGUGGUUCGAAUUCCGGCCGAGUCACA